GCACUCUUUGACUUUGGAAUUUUCCAAAAUGGCUGCCGCUCGCCUGGCAAUGGGGGGACGAGGGUGCCAUCCGUUAUUGCUAGCAAUUACAAAUCUAGUUAUGGCACCCUCAACGGAGUUUGGGUGACAUAUUGUUAUUCUACGUUUCUUUUUUUUCUUAUUAUUUUUAUUUUUCUUCCACACAUUUUGUCCGCGCGAGUUCUCAGAAUUGAACGGACCAAUGUUUUAUGGAACUCAACUAUAAUGAGGAACCCCAUUUGAAGUUGUGCACCUUGCUAUGGAAUGGUAAAAGAUGGCCGCCGUUUCCAUGGAAACAGCACAAAUGCGAAAAAAAUCAAAG
rnacentral:lncRNA from 1 species